UACGACUACAUAUCAGGCAUAUCAAUAAGCGGAGGAAAAGAAACUAACAAGGAUUCCCUUAGUAACGGCGAGUGAAGCGGGAAGAGCUCAAAUUUGAAAUCUUCAAGGUUCUACCUUGACGAAUUGUAGUUUAAAGAAGUGUUUUCUGUUAGAUGAGUAGCAAAAGUUCCUUGGAAUGGGACAUCAUAGAGGGUGAGAAUCCCGUAUUUGGUUAUUCAUUCUAGCUUUGUGAUACACUUUCAAAGAGUCGGAUUGUUUGGGAAUGCAGUCCAAAAUGGGUGGUAAAUUUCAUCUAAAGCUAAAUAUUGGCGAGAGACCGAUAGCGAACAAGUACCGUGAGGGAAAGAUGUAAAAGAACUUUGAAAAGAGAGUUAAACAGUACGUGAAAUUGUCAAAAGGGAAGCGUUUGACACCAGUGUUGUUUAGUUGAAAAUCAAUUCAAUAGUUUUUGAUUCUAAGUAGUAUUGACUUCAUCAGCUUGCUGCUUUCUUCUCAGAAAUUAUUGAAUGCACUUUUCAGUUAACAAGUCAACAUCAAUUUCUUUUGUUGUAAAAGGGUAAGAGGAAGGUGGCUUGCGCUUCGGCUCAAGUGUUUAUAGCCUUUUAUCUCUGCAAUCGGAGAGAUUGAGGUCCGCAGCGUAGAUCCUUCGGGGUUAGAUACAUUGGUGCUAAGCUAUAGCCUUGUAUAGACAACUUGUUGACUAUGCUCAGUCAUGUAGCUUACUCGCUGAUGCUAUUUUACCUACGCUUAGGAUGUUGAGUAGCGACAUACGCAC
rnacentral:rRNA from 1 species